AGUAAUGCACUAGGAAAUUGCCCUGAUGUGGCUGGAUAACCAUUGGAAACGAUGGCUAAUACCGCAUGAUGCCUACGGGCCAAAGAGGGGGACCUUCGGGCCUCUCGCGUCAGGAUAUGCCUAGGUGGGAUUAGCUAGUUGGUGAGGUAAGGGCUCACCAAGGCGACGAUCCCUAGCUGGUCUGAGAGGAUGAUCAGCCACACUGGAACUGAGACACGGUCCAGACUCCUACGGGAGGCAGCAGUGGGGAAUAUUGCACAAUGGGCGCAAGCCUGAUGCAGCCAUGCCGCGUGUAUGAAGAAGGCCUUCGGGUUGUAAAGCACUUUCAGUCGUGAGGAAGGCGGUGUCGUUAAUAGCGGCAUUGUUUGACGUUAGCGACAGAAGAAGCACCGGCUAACUCCGUGCCAGCAGCCGCGGUAAUACGGAGGGUGCGAGCGUUAAUCGGAAUUACUGGGCGUAAAGCGCAUGCAGGUGGUUUGUUAAGUCAGAUGUGAAAGCCCGGGGCUCAACCUCGGAAUAGCAUUUGAUACUGGCAGACUAAAGUACUGUAGAGGGCGGUAGAAUUUCAGGUGUAGCGGUGAAAUGCGUAAAGAUCUGAAGGAAUAUCGGU
rnacentral:rRNA from 1 species